rnacentral:rRNA from 1 species
GUGCUCGGGGGUCAACACCAACCCAAUGUGAACGUUACCAAACUGUUGCCUCGGCGGGAUCUCUGCCCCGGGUGCGUCGCAGCCCCGGACCAAGGCGCCCGCCGGAGGACCAACCAAAACUCUUAUUGUAUACCCCCUCGCGGGUUUUUUUUAUAAUCUGAGCCUUCUCGGCGCCUCUCGUAGGCGUUUCGAAAAUGAAUCAAAACUUUCAACAACGGAUCUCUUGGUUCUGGCAUCGAUGAAGAACGCAGCGAAAUGCGAUAAGUAAUGUGAAUUGCAGAAUUCAGUGAAUCAUCGAAUCUUUGAACGCACAUUGCGCCCGCCAGUAUUCUGGCGGGCAUGCCUGUCCGAGCGUCAUUUCAACCCUCGAACCCCUCCGGGGGGUCGGCGUUGGGGAUCGGCCCUGCCUUGGCGGUGGCCGUCUCCGAAAUACAGUGGCGGUCUCGCCGCAGCCUCUCCUGCGCAGUAGUUUGCACACUCGCAUCGGGAGCGCGGCGCGUCCACAGCCGUUAAACACCCAACUUCUGAAAUGUUGACCUCGGAUCAGGUAGGAAUACCCGCUGAACUUAAGCAUAUCAAAGCCCCGAAAGAAA